UACGUAGGCAGCAAGCGUUGUUCGGAGUUACUGGGCGUAAAGAGUGCGUAGGCGGUCCUGUAAGUUUGGUGUGAAAUCUCCCGGCUCAACUGGGAGGGUGCGCCGAAGACUGCAGGGCUUGAGUAUGGGAGAGGAAAGCGGAAUUCCUGGUGUAGCGGUGAAAUGCGUAGAUAUCAGGAGGAACACCUGCGGUGUAGACGGCUUUCUGGACCAUUACUGACACUGAGACACGAAAGCGUGGGUAGCAAACAGG
rnacentral:rRNA from 1 species